CCCUUGGAUGUCGUACCGCCACAUCUGCGAGAUGUACAAGAAGACUGAUGCAUACGUCGGGACAACGGAAGAGACUCUGACACGAGGGGCAUGGAGAAACCUGUUUUUUUUUGUUGUUUUUUUGAGGUUGUUCAUCGUUAAAGUACCAGUCUAAGGAGCUUGGAAAGAUGAGCUUCUAGAACUUGUAUGUAAGGAGCAGGAGCUCCCUGAAGGAGAACCCCGGCCACUUCGUCAUCUUCCCCUUGGAUGUCGUACCGCCACAUCUGGCAGAUGUACAAGGAUCAGUCUGGACAGCGGAGGUGGUAGCAGGAGCUGCGGCGGUAUUUGUCCUGCAGGUGUCUUGAGCGGCUUGCCAGAUGCUUUGCGGGUGCCGGCCCCGUGCGAGUGUCUUGAGCGGCUUGCCAGAUGCUUUGCCGGUUGCAGCAGAAGAGCAGCAGCUCACUGAAGGAGAAGCCCGGUCACGUUGUCAU